rnacentral:rRNA from 1 species
UACGUAGGGUGCAAGCGUUGUCCGGAAUUAUUAGGCGUAAAGAGCUUGUAGGCGGUUUGUCGCGUCUGCUGUGAAAUUUCGGGGCUCAACCCCGAACUUGCAGUGGGUACGGGCAGACUAGAGUGUGGUAGGGGAGACUGGAAUUCCUGGUGUAGCGGUGAAAUGCGCAGAUAUCAGGAGGAACACCGAUGGCGAAGGCAGGUCUCUGGGCCAUAACUGACGUGAGAAGCGAAAGCGUGGGGAGCAAACAGG